rnacentral:rRNA from 1 species
AUUGAACGCUGGCGGAAUGCUUUACACAUGCAAGUCGAACGGCAGCACGGACUUCGGUCUGGUGGCGAGUGGCGAACGGGUGGGUAAUGUAUCGGAACGUGCCCAGUCGUGGGGGAUAACGUAGUGAAAAUUACGCUAAUACCGCAUACGAUCUAUGGAUGAAAGCGGGGGAUCGCAAGACCUCGCGCGAUUGGAGUGGCCGAUAUCAGAUUAGGUAGUUGGUGGGGUAAAGGCCCACCAAGCCAACGAUCUGUAGCUGGUCUGAGAGGACGACCAGCCACACUGGAACUGAGACACGGUCCAGACUCCUACGGGAGGCAGCAGUGGGGAAUUUUGGACAAUGGGCGAAAGCCUGAUCCAGCCAUUCCGCGUGCAGGAUGAAGGCCCUCGGGUUGUAAACUGCUUUUGUACAGAACGAAAAGGUUUCUACUAAUACUAGGAGCUCAUGACGGUACUGUAAGAAUAAGCACCGGCUAACUACGUGCCAGCAGCCGCGGUAA